rnacentral:misc_RNA from 1 species
GGCAAGUGAGUUUCGAAUAGUUGAUGGUUGAAAAGAGAACGGUAUGAGAAGUGGGAAGAUGUCAGGAACCACACCAGGAUAAGAUAUUGGCACGCCUUUACUAAUUCUGUUGGAAGAGAUCCAUGACAAAUGCCUCUGAGAUGACCUCCUUCUAAGCCUUUGGUUCAGAGAGACUUGGAUGUUCAAGAUAUAGCUGGACACCUAGAGGUUCACUACUCAUGGACUUAAUAGGAGUUAUAAGAGGUGCUUGCUGCCACUGCUGUGUAU